rnacentral:lncRNA from 1 species
CAUGGGCACCUGCUCCCAGAUACCUUCAUUAUAUGGAACUUCAGUAUCGGCAGCAGAUUUGCCAAAAGCUAAGUUUGCAUGCACUUUAUAAGGAUGACCUUCUUCUAGGACCACUUGUAAUGUAUAUGCACUUAUACAGGGGGCCACUUGAUUGUUUGAGGAAAAUUCUUGAGUAAGUGCAGUCUGUUCAGAAUCAUGCAACAAAGCAUGAGUCGUUCACCAACCAUCUCAAAUCUGGUGAUAUCAUUAGGCCGACAACUUUGUUCGAUGGUAAACCAAUCGACACUGGCAAUUGCGUAGUCUAGAUGUCACCUGCAGUACUGUUUGCUGUCAACAUUGACAGUUAAAAAGACAUCCGCCCUCGAAUAGCUGAACAUCAAAGAGAAUAUAUGAACUUCAACAAUCAGAUGUGAGCGAUGAUGUUUUCUUUUGGGAAGAAUUGCCUGUGAGGUAUUCGUUCUUUUGUUCUUUAACUAGCUUUCUCCCCCUGCUCGUGUUAGUCACAUUCAUGCUUAAAGAUCUCCACCGAGUUAUGGGUUAAACAUCUGCAUAAAUUGUGAUGCUGUUAUCAUGUUCCUUGCUGGAGGUCUUCAUUACAGUCUUUACUUAAUCUCAACACAAUUCUGUUGCCAACCAAAGAGCAUGCACUUUAUCAUGAUAAGGGCCACUAAGUUGAUCAGCCACAGCUUCCAUUGACCUACAGUUUUGUAGCAAAAGAACCUUCGCAUGGCAAAUAGUUUUUCGCUGCAGGAACAGUAUGCAGCUUUAUUUUCGUCGAACACCUGCGUCAUGGUUUCGUUCAUCCAUUUGAGCAGAAGUGCGUGCACAAGGAGACGGGCCAAGAAUUGGGUAAAAGAUAAAAAGGAAUUCUUCUUCUACCAUGCUCCCUCUCAGUCAUUUGCACCUGCAUAUGAUCGAGACUAGACCAGUUUUUGAACUAGAUUCACUAUUUCUCCAUCUCUAAGAAUACCUAGUGAAAAGAUUUGUCAUACGAACUGGAAACAAAACAAAACGAUAGAUGGAAAUUCUUAUUUUAUUUUUUUCAAAAAAAGAUGGAAAAGAAAAUGACACUUAAAUUACAUAGAACUUUCUAUUAAAUAAGCUGAAAAGUAAUCAGCCAAAAGUUUUUUUUGAUAAAGUAACAAUUGAAUUACCUAAAAACUUUCUAUUAAACUAUGCUAAAAAGGAAUAAGCUAAAACCAUUUUUUAUUUAAGAAAAGGAGGAGAAUCAUAAAGAAUCUCUCCUCUUUUUUUUUUUUUAACUUGAUGAAUUUUUUUAAAAAAUAAUUUUUGAAAAUUUUUUGAUAGCGUUUCAACUUUAAAAAAAUUCUCGCAAAACACACUUUAAAAAUUUAUUUUUAUUUUCAAAAAUUCAUCGUUUUAACUUUACAAGAUUCUCUGCGCGUGGGUGGGUGAUCCGUUACGGGGCUCCCUCAGCCACCCGCAAGCCGGCCAGGGAGUCCACAGGCCCCACGCGCGGCCUGAAGGACCGACCCUUCUCUGUGGGCCCCAUCCCGGUGACUUCGGCGCCAACUUUCCCCUCCCUCUCUCUUUCUUUCUCACCCGAACCAGCCGAGGCAACGGGCCAUUCUGGUGCGGACAAUACCGAGCCUGGAGUUCGAAUUUUUCGAACGUUGGAAGACACAAACAAAGCACGCGCCUGGCAUUUGCACACUACAAAACCCCCUUCCCACCCCAUAAAUAUCGCCUCAUGUUCCGUGUUCGAUGGACGUUCUGAGGCAAAAGAUUUUUUUCCGAUCAUUAGUAAAGAAUAUAGAACAUUUUAACAAAAAAAAAUAUCUUUACUGAUGACUUUUAAUAGGACGACAUCUCAUAUUCAUUUUUAUUUUAUUUUUUCACUUGGAAAAGAAAUACUCUCAGACUUUUACCUAAGAUCACAGAUGUUUGCUAAAAUUCUUUAAUUUUAAUAAUUAAUUAUAAAAAUCUUAAAAAAUAAGAUAGUAUUAACCAUACUAGAAUUAAAAUUUUGAGAUGAUUUAGUAGACUAAGCACUAAUCAAAAUUGUACUUACACUCGAUUACAAUAUUAAUUCAAAAAUCUUAAAAUUUGAUAAUUAAUUAAUAUAAUUUUGUAUAAAAAUAAAAAAUAAUAAUAAUCAUCUUAAAGUAUAGCUCGGUGGAAGUUCGAGUUGGUUUAAUCAAAGUUAACUAAGUUACACUCAGAAAUUGAAUUAAGUUACGUCCAAUCAAAGAACAACCUAUUCAAAAAGUCUCUAAUUUUGAUAGUUAAUUAUCAUAAAAAUUUUAAAAAAUAAAAAAUACUAAUCAUCUUAUAACCAUGUCAUAGUAUUUCUAUGGAAGUUAAGAUUGGUUUACUAAAAGUUGAUAAAAUUAUACUCGAUAAUAAAAUCGAUUAAUUUUUUUUAAAUUUUAAUGAUUAAUUAUUAUAUUUUUUUAAAAAUUAAAAUAUUAACAUCUAAGAAUCAUACUCUAGUUAUAUGUAAAAGCUUGAGUUGGUUAAGUGAAACUUAAUCCAAUUGCACCCGAAAUUGGACUAUCUAAAAUAUUUUCAAUUUCAAUUGGGCUUGAUUCAUGAAUUAUUUUUAUCAUUUAUAAAAGAAAUAUCUCGAGAUAAAAAUAAAAAAACAAAUGACAAAAGUUUUUGGAUAAAACACCAGAAUAUACUCCUUGAAAAAAAAAACAUAAUUUCAAUAUAUUCACUCAUAUUAUCUUCUUGCAUUCAUUCACAAGUUUCCCAGAUUAAUAACUAUUGAUCUCGUGACGAAGUGACUCAUUCGUAGAUUUGCGCUCAGAUAGAAAAUAUAUUAUCCUAAAAGCCAUUUAGCUCAGGGAGCUGCAUCACAUCAGACCCAGACCUGUGGACUCCUAGUCUCCUGCAAAAUAGGCUUGCAAACAAACUGGAACGAAUAGAUAGAUUUCGCAUCGAUCACCCUCUAUGUGUCGUCUAUUGACAAAUAAUCAGGUCACAAUAGUUGUGGUAGGGAAAGUAUCAGCGCCAAUAACUCAUCCUACCACCUAGGCCGAGCAAGCCACCUAAGCAAAAAAUAUAGGAGCUCCCACUAAUUCUCUAUAGCCAUCGACAAGAGAUCAACCCAUGAUCCUUGCCUACCCCGGCUUCUCAAAAAGAGAUAGUAAAAAUCACUCCUUGUUGAUCCUACGAGGAAAUGGCCAUUUCCUUAUAUUAAUAGUCGGCGGCAUGGUUCGUCUCCCUCGUACGUCCCUUUCAGACAAUUGAAGGAGGGACCACUUUCUACCUAACUCAAAGCGGUAAAAAAGUCACACAUGGAAUGUCAUCCCAGAGACCCAACAUCAACACUGACCUCGAGACGAACUGGUAAGCUACCUCUAUUAAUGGAACAUGAUGAGUAGGGUAGGGGGAAACCCUCACCCAUCCCUGUCCUCACCGCCAAGCACUCAGGUGUAAAAACCUAACCCUAGGCUAAAUAGGGACAAGCCAAUAAACACCACACUCUUCUAAAUAUAGCUAACUCACUCUUUCCUCAUCUCUUGACUUAAACAUCAGAGAGGUCAUGCUGAGACCUUCCUUAGAGUUGACCUAUCAUGUAGGAUCCCUAGCGCAACUGAGGAGGAAUUGCGAGACAACUCCCAUGGACAUGACAUAUCAUAUUUCCAAAAUUAGCUUACCACCUCUACAAACAGAAAAUUCUCUACGCUUGUGCCUCAGACCAACUCUCCACAAUAGUCCUCAAUGUCAACUCCCCAAGGACCUACAAUUUCGGUGCUAAACCAAGCCCAGCUGACUCAUCAGCCGACAGCUUCAGUAUAACAAUAUUUUGGUGCUAGAAGGAGUGCUAAAUGUCACAGCAAUGUCCUUUCAUAACUCCUAUCAAUGGGCGCUCUGGGUACCUGCUCAUCUCAUCAAAAGCCUUCUGAGUCCUCAUGCACCGAUUGUAACAUCCCAUUAGUCCCACAUCGGAAGUGGGGAAUAUGUAUGAUUAGCUUAUAAGGGUUUGAUGAGUGUACUACGUUAACUCCCGCUUAGUAUGACAUUAAGGGACUCAACUAAUCACACAAAGCCAAAAAGGUAGGCAACUCUUGCAAAUCACAACUCACUAUGAUUGCGAUCUUGUUCGAUCUUCAAACCAUCAUAGCCUCGAGAGACGACUAAUCAUGGUGUUCGUUUAAGUCAACACCAUCAUUACAAGAUGAGUCUAAUUCGAUGAUACACCCUCGAGAGACUCGACUAAGCAUACUAUAUCCUCAGGUCAUUGGUGACAUCUCCAUGUUAGCAAGAUCUCAGUCCAUGUCAAAAAAUGAUUUCCACAUAUAAUAACAGGCCACAUUCUCAUCCUCAUCGGUCCCCAUCACCUCUACCCCACCGUUGUGCUUUCUCAUGCAUUUAUAACUCAAUUAAAGGCUCGUAGGCCCAAACAUAUGCAUAUCAUAUAAAAGAGAAAUCUUGAUCUCAUCAAGAGGAGGUACAACUCUAAGAGAGAUAUAAAUAUAUGUCGGAUUAAUUAAUGAGAGAGAGAGAGGGAAGCUCGUACGUCUCAAUAAUAAUCACAUAUAUACAUACACACAUCGUAUAUGGUCCAUGAUCAUCUAUCAACAAUACACAUCAUGUUUAUACAGACUAACUAGGUAGAAUCAAUUAAAUUCUUUAAUUAAUUUUGGAUUAACUCUUAAUCAAUUAGACUUGGAUUAACCCUUAAUCCAAUUUGGGAAACCCUAGCUAAUCCAUGUCACAAGGUGCCCUUGGCGGCCAGGAAACCUGGCCACCUAUCACAUUUGGUUAGUUGGGAAACCCUAGUCGCUAGGGUUGCCCUUGCGGCUAGGAGUCCUCCUGGCCACCAAGGCUACAAGCAGCCCUCGGCCAAGGCUUUCUUUAUCAUAUCUAAUGUCAAUAAGUUUUUGGGUGACAAAACACUUCAUACACCAAAAACUAUGCUAUUCUAAUCUUAAAUCGGUGAAAACAUAACUUAUUUACGAGAAAAUCGAUUCUACACAACAUAUAGUCAAUAAUCGAUCAUUGCAUGAGCAACCUGGCUUUGAUACCACUAUUGAAAAACCUUAAGGAGCAUCAUAUGCAUAGUGAAAAAUAAAAAUAAAACUGGUUUCCCAAAACGGAUUUAUCGAAUUAUCAUGUAAAGAUCGAAAGCGUAAAACUCAAGAAACUAAAAACUACAUAAAGGGUGUGAGAUGUUCUCAUUUAGGGGAACUCAUAUAUCCCAUAAGAUCAUAUAUCUUAGUCUAUAGAUGAAGGAGCUCUCAUAAACUCUUCUCUGGCGGUGAUCCACAUGAUGGACACAAUAAUGAUGCUCCUCCUUGCAUAACGCAUUCUUUCCUUAUAAUCGCACGCCACCAUACAACAACAUACAAGGAGGGAUCGAUUCCUCCUAUUGUCCUCUCGCACUACAGAGGGAGCAGUCGAAUGGAUGAAGAAGGGGGGAGGAGAUGAUGAGGGUGGCGACUAUAGGGGUCCAGCCUAUGACCCUUUGAGUCUCAACUCCUAUUUAUAAAGAGCCCCUUUACUUACCAUAAUGGAUUAUGCCUUAAUAGGUAUUAGAUCUCCAUCAAAUUAUCCUUGGCUUAAUGAAUAUUGGAUCCCUAUCCAAUUCUAAACUCUAUUAGAUCCAUUAAAACAAUCCUUAUUGGAUAUCUUAUAUGUAAUCAUCUAUUCGUCGUGUUGUCCACCAUAUGUGUGUGACCCUUUAAGCUCAAUAUUGAAUUUGUCGUGAGUUACACCUGUUAGAACCUCUUUUGACUCAAAAUUUCUUCUGACUCAAUGAAUUAUUAUUCUCAUAAUAAUUUAUUUAAUUCAUCGACUAUGGGCAUACUAGGCCACUACGCCAUAGUUCUCAAACGAUACAAGGGGAUCUAAUCCUUUGGACCUAUCUGCCCUCAGUUAUUGUGUACUUAUAGUCCUUCAUUCAUCUAAUAUAUCAAAAACCAUAUAUCAUACAUAGUACUAUCAGGCCUAUAUGGAAUCUAUCUGAAUCUCACUCUAAUCAAAUUCUCAUAGAGAACUCCUCUCUCAAUCCGAAUCUCACGUUUAUCAGAUUCAUCAUGAUCUGAUUGACCCUAGCCGGGGAUUCGCUUGAGUGAGAAUACACGAGAUAUUCCUCUCAUGAUACCGAGAGUAGAUGAUCUUCUAUUGACAUAUAAUUACCUUCGUAAGGUUGACUGUCAUUUCCAAUGAUCGUUUGUAUUAUAUCUAGAAGUUUCAGACUUAUAAGUUUGAUAUCAAAUAAUAGAGUACUCAUACAAUGCAUUCUUGGUGUUUCAAGUCUAAGGACCAGAUACACAAUGAAAUUACGAAAUUGUUAUAUGAUGAUGAGAUAUCAUUAACCAACCAGCAUUUCGUAAGCGGAUCAUUCAAUGAACUCAUUCUCCAAUGAGCACCUGUACUAUAUCUCUAGUGCCCCUACACAAGCAGUUAUGAGACUAGCUUUCUCCAUCAUAUAGACGGGCAUAUAGUACAUUAGUCUAUCAUGUUAUCUCAAUGUCCCUCUCGAGUAACCUAUGACCAAAAAUAUUUAUAGUAUGUAUUUAAAGACAAAUUGAUCUCAUUAUUAUUAUGAUCAAAAGAUAUUAAUAUAUAUAUAAUUCAAUAUAAAGUAAAAAAGUAUCAUAAUCAUAAUAACCAAAAGAGAUUAUGUAACGUAUCACAUAUUCUAUCACUCACGUGAUUGGGUUGCAGGACACCUGCAACACUGCCUCCAAUAAUGGCAUCUAACGAGUAGGACAUGGGGGAUCCUCACCCAUCCUUAUCCUUGUUGCCAUGCACCCAAGUAUAAAAACCUAACCUCAGGUUAAAUAGGGGUAGACGGGUGAACACCACACUCUUCUGAAUAUAGUUAACUCAUUCUUUCCCUAUCUCUCUGACUUAAGCAUCGAAGGGGCCACACUAGGACCUCCCUUGACGAUGACUUGUAAUACAGGAUCAUCGACGUAGCUGAAGAGACAUUGCUAGAAGACUCCCACAACAAGGCAGAUCAUCUUCCUAAGAUCAGCACGCCCCCUCCACACACGAGAAGCUCUUUAUGCUCGUGCCGUAGGCCAGCUCUAUGCAACAGUCCUUUGUGUCAACUCUCAUGAAAGGACAUGUACUUUCAAUGUUAAACCAAGCCGAAUUUACUUCGUUGUAAUAACAAGUUGGAACCACUUCUUAAAUAAGAAUUAUAGCUUUAGAGAGAGAAAGACCUCACCAUUCAUAAUUUCUCUGUGAAAACAUGGAAGAAAAUGCCAAAAAAGAUAGAUUAAAUGGCUGUGUUUAUGUGGACAUGUCGAUAGAGGCUUGCUAACGUUGUACCAACUCUUACCUCUCUAUGAAACCAGUUGACCGAAAAUAUCUAUUGUCCGAGGAAAUACUCCGAUUUAGAUUUAAUGUAUGAUAGAAGGUUGAAAAGCAGAAAAAAUGGCCGUGUUCAAUUCGAUGUAUCAUGAAACAUAUGUAUGGUAGUAACGCCUUCAAUCUCAUGAUAAAUUUCCCUUCUUUGAUAGAAUUUCUUAACCAUAAAUAUUGUCUAGAAACAUACCAUGUAAGAGAGGAUAAUUAUAUAUUACCUCCUAUGAUUAAUUAUGAUUAACAUCUCGAUCCUUGUACUUUAAAAAAUAAUAUUGGGCUUUUUAUAACACUUAUAAAGGUGAAACAUUUAACCUCAAUUCUAUUUUAUUGACAGAAAAAAUAAACGUGUUGUCACAUGAAAAAAAAAUUACGAAUGAAAAUGAUACAAAUAUAAUUUAAAUAACUUUUAAAUUAUUAAUUUUAUAUAAUUUGAUUGAUUUGCUCUUCUCCUCUUUCCAAACUGCUUGCACAUAGCCUAUCGCACCUGUUGCUUGUCGGUCGCCCACCGCACCUUCUCGCUCGUCGCUCGCCCACAUCUCACUUGUCACACUUACUCACCCGCCACACCCGCUCGCCCGCCUCUCGCUCGCCACACUUACUCAUUCGUCGCUAAGCAAGUGCGAUGGGCAAGAAGCAAGCGAGCGACAAGUGAGCAAGUGCGGUGGGUGAGCGGUGGGCGAGCAACAGGUGAGCAAGUACGGCAAGUGAGGAAGUGCAGCGGACAAGUAACGAGCGAGCAAGUGCCACAAGCGAGCAGGAAGGCACUAUAUGUUACGGGUGAGUAGUUUGGAAGGAUAAUGAAAUUAUAUUUUUAUCUUUUCUAUUCAUAUUUUUUUAUACAUACGAUUUUUUUUCCGUCGAUGUUAACGAUGUAAGAAGAAUUAUGGUUAAAUGUUUUACCUUCGUAAUUAUAGGAACCCAAAUACUAUUUCUAAAAAUAUAAAAAUUAAAAUAUUAAUCAUAGUUAACUAUAGAGGAUAAUCUAUAAAUUAACAACUCACAAGUACGUUCCAUGUGCCAUGGUAUAUAUAUAUUCCGAUCAAAAGCGAGAGCAUGAAUUCUGAUACAUACAGGUUCAACUAUUACAGGUUGCCAACUGAAAAAUAGCAAACCAAUUCAAAUAGGAUUUGGUCAUCCGCUGCUAUGUGGCACAUACAAACUUAAGCACAAAACGGUCGUAAUUGGAAAACAUUAAGGAAAGAUGCAUAAUUACACCUCAAAGCUAUAAUUCAUACCUCCUCCUCCUCCGCCCCUUUCCGCUAUUAAUACACCCCCACACCCUGUCCCUCCCUUUCCUUUUCAUCCAAGCCACGAACUGAGAGAGGCUCGGAAAGAGAACGAGACGGAGACAGAGAGAGAAGGGGCGCAAACCUCUCUCCCUUCUCCUCCUCUUCUACCUUUUCCCUCCUCGAGGCGGAGGAGGGCAGCCUGAAGGGAGAAGCCGCGUCUUCUAACAUCCGUGGAUACUUGGUGAAUUUGCAACUGUUGGGGCCUGGGCUUUCUGUGCUUGGUGCGUCCGUUGCCCGAGGAAAUGGCGUCGGAGGGGUUUCUUUCGUUAUCGGUGGUGGAGGACGUGCUGAAGCAGCAUGGGACGAUGAUGAGCGACAUCGACCUGGCCUCUAGGAAGGAGGAGGAAGCAGGUGAUUCAGCUUAUCAUUUCAGUCUUUUACAUGUCUUCUAAGGCAUGCCGAUCGAACAAGGUUUCUUUUUUCGUUUUUGAUGAACUUCAAAUGGUUUCGGAUCAAUGAGAGAGCUACCAAAUGCUUAUGAUCGCCUUUCCUUCACCCACACUGUUUUGGAGUUUCUUUAUCAUCAAAUUUUGUUCUUCCGCGCAGAUGCUCCUUUUCUUUCGAAAAAUACGAAUACAAUGAAGCAAUUGCUGAGUAUUUUUGCUGGUCUUGUCACAGAGAUGAACAUACUUUUGCUUUUGAUUCAUCCAAACAAUCAUAUUAAGCAGAUUUUUUUAUUGAUUUUUUUUUUUUAUACUUUCCCCCCCGGAAAAGAUCACCUAUCUCGAUCAGGUUCCGUGAAAUCAUGAAUAGAGUUUUUAUUGAUCUAUUUGCUAUAGCAGCAACGAGACGGUACGAGGCAGCCGGAUGGCUGAGGAGGAUGGUUGGGGUUGUUGGUGCGAGAGAUUUGCCAGAAGAGCCUACUGAGGAGGAAUUCCGGCUUGGGCUGAGAAACGGGAUUGUUCUUUGCAAUGCACUCAACAAAGUUCAACCUGGUGCUGUGCCCAAGGUUAGCUUUUCUGGGAGGAGCGCAGUGGAUUCUUUGUUUCUUCCUUUGUCUAAUGACGUGAUCCCUCCCCGAAUCAUAUCAUUUCCAGGUGGUAGAAGCUCCUGUGGAUCCAACUCUCCUUCCAGAUGGUGCUGCUCUGUCAGCAUAUCAGUACUUCGAGAAUUUGAGGAACUUCCUUGAUGCCCUGGAAGAGUUGGGUCUCCCAACAUUUGAGGCGUCCGAUCUAGAACGAGUGUGGCUUUUUCUUGGGCUAAUUAGCUUUUCUCUUGUUCUUCCUUAUUUUAAAAUUUGAAUUACAAGUUAAAAAUCUUAAAUUUCUAAGUUUUAUAACUAAUUAUUCUUUUACAUGUUCCUUUCCAUAAUCACUUCUUCUUCUAUAACAUUGCCCAUUCGACUUGAUCGUCCUUAGCGUGCAUGCCUUCUUUUUAAUUUUUUAUUUCUUAUCUUGGCUGGAGUACAGGGUGGUAAAGGCUCUCGGGUCGUGAACUGUGUUUUAGCUCUUAAAUCCUAUGGUGAGCAUAAAGAAGGAGGCAGAAAUGGUUCCUGCAAGUAUGGUGGGGUUUUGAAACCUUCAAGCUGUGGUAAACAUUUUGCAAGGAGAAACUUUGAACCUUUCAUGAAUUCCCUUGCAAGAAAUCAAUCAGCUGACAAAAUCCAGGACAGUGUAUCGGUGGAAGAGAACUUGAGCAUUGAUUUUUCAUUAGAAUCCACUGAAAUGGUUGGUAAGCUGAAGGUCACAAUUUAUACAAUGAUUUGAGUGAUCCUGCAUUAACUAAAAACAUGCGUGAUAUGGUUCACAGACAUCACAUUCUCUGAAUAUGCUUGUGCGCACCAUUCUGUCAAAUAAGAAGCCCGAAGAAGUUCCAUCGGUAAGUUAAUUCAUUACAAAUAUUAACAGUACAUAGUGGAUAUGAGGUGAAAAUUGUUUUCCUUGUUCCCAGCUUGUAGAGUCAAUGUUAAGCAAAGUAAUGCAAGAAUUCGAGUGUCGGAUUGCAAGCCAAAAUGAUCUGGUAGACCCUUGUACUUUGGUCAUUCACAUACUGCUUUGUUUAUCUGAACAAGAGUGCUUCUCUUCUUUUUAUCUUUAUACUUAAUGAGUAUUACUUAUUUUCCCUUCACUGACUUUAUCUUCAAAAUGAUUGUGCAGCAUCUUCUCCCGAAACCUGCUUGAUUUUCUUCCUCAACUCAAUAUAUGAUAAUAAAUUUUAUUUUUUGCCGCUGUUAGAUUCUUGGAAUAACUUCAAUUGGUAUUACUAAUCUUGUUAGGUUACAACAACUGCAAAGGAUCAAACUGAUGGAACAAUAUCCUUAUCUGAAGAAAACAAUUUCCCAGAGACUUCAUCCGGUUGUUGUGAAAUAGAGGUACCUUGUCCUAUUUCGUACAGGGAAAAAUCCAACAAAGUCAUAAUUAUCAAACUAAUUGUGGUAUUCAUUAGACCAAAUAUAUUGCUGGUUGUGUGUGUUACAAAAAAUUCAUUUAUGAUUUGUGAUUUAUUAGACUUCAGUACCUCGUGAUAAAUUCAUGUGCCUUUCUAAUUGUUUUUCUAUGAUUUAGAUGGUGAAGGCAGAGAGCACUUCUCCAAGUUUAAAAGAUGAGAGUUUUAGUAUGAGCUUGAAGGAUGGAGAGACAUCAAAUACCAAGCUCCUAAAGCAAGGCCUACUUUUUGAUGGACACACAUCAAGUACCAAGCUCCUAAAGCAAGGCCUACUUUUUGAUAGACAAAAAACAGAAAUUCAGGUAUGCUCUAUAGCGGUCAUUUUGUUUGAAAGAUGGAUUAUGGUUGAGUUCAUCAAUCCGCAUUGAUGGUUGACGUCCUAUGUAGGAACUGAAAGAUGCACUUGUAACCACUAGAGCUGGUAUAGAAUUGAUGAAAACUGAAUAUUCUGAGGAAUUAAGUAAUCUCGGUAAGAUAAUUAACUGAUCAGUUGGAAUUGAAGAUCAGAACUGUUAUAUGUACCUUGAAGGCCCUUGUUUUCAUCGUUUUUAGGGAAGCAUAUGAGGAUCCUAGCUCAUGCAAUUCAAGGAUAUCAUAAAAUACUCGAGGAAAAUAGAAAGUUAUACAAUCAAGUGCAGGAUCUUAAAGGUAAUAUUAUAGCUGGAUCCUAAGAGUAAUUAUUAGAUGGUGCAAACCUAAUGCUUCUACUAAUUUCUUUUGUAUAGGGAACAUUAGGGUGUAUUGCCGUGUCAGGCCUUUCUUGCCUGGGCAGUCUAAUCUGAGCACUGUUGGUCAUAUUGAUGAUGGAAGUAUUACAAUUCUUACCCCUCCAAAAUAUGGGAAAGAAGGGCAUAAAUCUUUUACCUUCAACAAAGUAUUUGGCCCAUUUGCUACUCAAGGUUUUUGAUGCUCUAUAUUCAGUUUCAUUUAGAAUUUUCUAAUGCAAACCACUGAAUUAACCCCUUUAAAUUAAUGCAGAGGAGGUUUUUUCUGACACACAACCUUUGAUCCGUUCUGUUCUUGAUGGUUACAACGUUUGCAUCUUUGCAUAUGGACAAACUGGAGCAGGAAAAACGUAUACAAUGGUAACGACAUUGAUAUGAAUAUUUAUCUUGAAAUACUUCAGUUUAGCUCACAGUCAUUUGUCCAUUCGAACUUAAUUUUUCAUGCAGAGUGGACCUAAGGUACUCACGGAACAGAGUUUUGGAGUGAACUAUAGGGCAUUAAAUGACUUAUUCCAUAUCUCAAAGGAGAGAAAAGACACAUUUUGUUAUGAAAUUUCUGUUCAGAUGAUUGAGAUAUACAACGAGCAAGUAAGAGAUCUCCUUGCUAGUGACGGCCCUCACAAAAGAUAUCCUUUUAUAAGAUCUUGUUUUUGUAAUACUUCAUCUUUUGUUUGCUGUUUAUUCAUGAUUAUCUAUACUUUUUACGCCUUAGAAUUCCCAACCUAUUUUCUAUGGACUAAAUGUUAGGUAUUUUUAUAGAACUUUUCUCCAUUCUGUCCACAUAAACCUUUACAUGUUGAUACAUUAGAUAUCCGUAAUAGUUCUCAGACAGGAUUUGCUGUGCCUGAUGCAAACUCGGUUCCUGUCACAUCAACAACUGAGGUUAUUGAGCUAAUGGAUAUUGGUCAAAAAAAUCGUGCUGUUAGUGCAACCUCCAUGAAUGACCGUAGCAGUCGCUCUCACAGGUCUGGUCAUACUUGUGAAGGAAUUUGCUUUGACUUUCACAGUGUUUGACCAAUGGAUUUUUUGGUUUACAGUUGCUUGACAAUUCAUGUUCAAGGAAGAGAGUUGGCAUCUGGGGUUGUUGUUAGAGGAUGUAUGCAUUUAGUUGAUCUGGCAGGUAGUGAGAGAGUUAAUAAAUCUGAAGUUAAAGGAGACAGGCUAAAAGAAGCACAGCAUAUUAACAAAUCACUAGCAGCUUUAGGAGAUGUGAUAUCUGCCCUUGCUCAGAAGAGUUCACAUAUUCCUUAUAGGAAUAGCAAACUUACACAACUACUUCAAGAUUCUCUAGGUAAGACCAAAAUGUGACUUUCUAAGUUCUACAUGUAACUCAUUCUUCUGGAGUCAUCAUAUGCUAUUUUGGUUUUCUCAGGAGGGCAAGCUAAAACAUUGAUGUUUGUCCACAUAAGCCCUGAGGUUGAUGCAGUAAGUGAGACACUAAGCACACUCAAGUUUGCUGAACGGGUUGCAAUGGUCGAGCUUGGUGCAGCUCAGGUAAACAAAGAUAAUGGGGAAGUCAAGGAGCUCAGGCUGCAGGUAUUUCCUUUUCAUUCUUGAGUUGCAGAUCAAUUUCUAACAUAUGAUUUUUUUGUUAAUUUGCUCCCGCUCCCUGGUUAUCCUAAUCUUAUGCCUUUGUUUCAUUCUGCUUAGGUAGCUAGCCUUAAAGCAGCAUUAGCUAAGAAAGAAGGUGAGCACUUGCGUAGUGCAAUGUCUAGCCCUGAUAUAUACGGGAUGAAAUCUGGUGCAACAUCUCCUGCACAUCCAAACCAUAUGCAGACGAUGGAGGAUUUUGGAAACAUAGAGGUAUAUUUACUCUAGUGUGGAAGAUUGUUGUGUCUUUUGUCCUGAAUAUGCAAAUAUUUAGAUUUGCCUGGAAGACUUGAUAUUUGGUAGAAUAUAAUGCUGUGUCAAAAUUAACAUAUGUAGCAACUGUAAGCCUAUAGAAUUAUAGGCAUUUGCUGGGACAUUGAAUUUUCGACUUUUAACAUAUCUGGUUAUGAAUUUAAAGCUUCUGGAUCAGGAAUGUUAGCUUUUACUCGAAAGAAAUUACAUAGCCACAUAUGUAAUCAAGGGUCUGAUUAUGAUUAGUACAUGGCCACAUAUGUCAUCAAGGGUCUUGUUAUGAUUAGGAUCUCUUCCAAAUAUUCUCUCUCUCUCUCUCUNNNNNNNNNNNNNNNNNNNNCUCUCUCUCUCUCUCUCUUCUCUCUCUCUCUCUCUCUCUCUCUCUCUCUCUCUCUCUCUCUCUCAUCUCAAUGCAUGGUGACAAAGAUGUUUCCAUUGAGAGCUCUUGGAUCUGAUGCUUUAAUUCUGGGUUGUUUCUUGACACUUCAGGUGCGGAGCUGUUCAGCACUCAUGCAGGAGCGAGCAGAUAUGGAUCUCCAAGACCUUUUGACAGCGUCAGAUUCUUCUUCUUGGCCAGAAAGAUAUCCCAAACUUUUGAAGUUUGGAAGCAAAGAAACGGGUGAGGAUGUCAUCCAGAACGAGGAUGCCCUGAGUGCCUGGGAAGGAGAUAACCCACAUGUGCCAGAUUCAUUUUACCAGGGAUAUAUUCCUGAUGUGAGAGCCUUCGGGGAUCAGCACAGAAGUCGGGCUAAUUGUAUAGCAACUGAGGACUUGGAUGAUUUGGAUUUUGCAACAAGUGAAUCUUCAGAGCAAGAUGUGCUAUCGCAGUCCAAUCUCCCAAAAAGUAGCAAUGCAGUCGAUAGGAUCAAGCGGCCUCAGUCAGGUUCAGUGAAGAGCUCCGACGUAAGGUAAUUCAGUUGCUACGAAUUUGAGCACUACCGGUAGAACACGAUCUUUAUUUUUAUGCUAGAAUAGAUCGUCUAAUUUGUGAGUCACACACUAUUAAUAUCAAACAACUUGCAUUAGAGCACAAGGUAGAGCACGUCAUGACUUUUAAAGCAGCAAACCACCCCUGCAGUACUAAGAUUAAAGUGCAUCCUAUGUUAGGUCUUGGUUCUUGCUCUAACUGAACAACAAAAGUUGCCUAGCUAUCUACCAUUGCAUAAAUAUAUUAUUUUCUGUUAUCACCGAAGAGUAGUAGUGAACUGAAUGUACUUCAACAGUACAUGGCCGUGAUCAUAAGCAAGAUUUGGCUUCUCGAUCCUUUUCACUGUGAGCACUUGAUAAAAUGUUUGUAAUCCUUUCAUCGGCUGUGAAUACAGGUCAGCAAGUCGCAGCCACUUGCCAUCUCCAUCGAGGAAAAUAUCGAAUGCGCCUGGCCAAACAGUGAGCCGCUCCACUAGACAGCCAAUCUCAGGUGGCAUCGAUGGGAAACGAAGGCCCAAUGCGAAAACGGGAAGCAGAAAGUAGACUGAUGGUAGAAUGCAUGGCUGGAGAUUUCCUGGUUUUUCUCUUGAUAUUAAUGGCAGGAGAGAUUGAGAGCUCUUCACUCAUGUUCGUCGGUAGCUGCUAACUCCAGCUGGUCGUGUCUGUCUACACGGUGGUCAUCUCGGUCUAUGCACAAGGCUAGUCUUUCUAUCUAUCUAUCUAUCUAUCGAUCUGUUGAAGGGGUUGGAUCCAUUGGCCAAUCAGUUCAUUUGCCUUGCGUGCACUCCGAACAAGAAGUGAAGGGAUGGAUGAGGAACCAGAAAAAGGUUAGAGAGAAGAAGAAAAUGAAAACAAGAUGUGGUGCAUAUAGUAACUUUUUUUCUAUCUAUUUUUCUUCAGUCUUUUAUUGUUGUUGUUGAUAUUAUUAUUGUGAGAGAGACCUCUCCUCUCCUAGUCUUGUGAAUGUUUGUGUUGGGUGGUGGACGAUCAAGAUCACCAAGCCUUCAUGAUAUUUGACUUUAUGUCGAAUCAUUUUUCAUCCCAUUGGAAUGGACUGAAAAUUAAAAUAUCAUUUUGGAGUGCGAAACAUACGGCGUGUGUGUGUGUGUGUGUGUGUGUAUGGUGCGCAAAGUACGUAAAAGAUUGACAUAGCGCAUAUGCUAUUAGAGAAUGGCCCAUGCAUGCAUGCAGCAUCUCUCUGGCUAUCGAACUCUGCAGUCUGAAUGCAGCGAAUACCAGAAGCUAUCACAGCCCGAAAUCGACUGAAACAAAAAUAAAGUCAUUUGGCAAGCGUCUUAACGUGGAGCAUCCCACCACUUGGAACCGUCGUAGUAGACUGUCCAUGGAGCAAGCAUCCAGUGAUGUUUUAUUUGGAUUUCUUUUUCUGACUACCAUUAAAAUCACGCAUCCGACCACAUUAAUAGGAUAAGCAUCCCGAGUGAGAUGACGAGAUCUAAUGGUCAUAGAAGAAAAACUUCAGAUGUAGGAGGACUGAGAGUGUUCUAUUCUGAACAUAUGCUGCGCGCUAAGAAAUCACUCGGUGAAGGUUUCUUCUCUCGGGAAGCUCUGAAGUCGGUCACUCUUUCCAAGUGUCCGAAAGAAGCACAAGGCUACGACAUGCAUGCAAUAUCUCGUGCAUGUUGGUUGGGUUAUGUCUUUUGCUUAUAUAAAAUCUGUUGCUUUCUCCUGCAGUAUUAUAGACUUUGAAGCCACCUAAAAUGUGGGAAGCACAACCUGUGGAUCAACACCCUUCAUCAUCGAAAGCUGCUGAAAGUUGACAGCCUGACAUUUAGAGGUGAAGACAUGCUGGACGCCCGAAGAGGAGACACUAACAAUCAUUAGUGUUAAGGUAUUGUUACUUCAGUUUUGAAGAGGGAACCGCACCUUUCUUUCUUUUUUUUCCCCCUUCUUUAUUGUAGUAACAUGGAAUACACUAAUCAUUCCAUGGCUGAUUUGAUUUCCGUUCUGGAUUCCCACACACAGGAUAAAAAUAUACAAACUACUAACCAAGACCAAUAGGAUAAUGACAAAUUACAAUAUCAAUCAAACAUCUGAAUUCCAACACCAAUCAAAAAUUUUUCUUACAGGUUUUGAAUGAAGAAAUCUAGCUGUACAAGCAAGCACGCUAUCAUCUCUGAUGUGGAAUAUUUGUUUGCUGGGAACAGAACAACCCUCAACUUGGGUACUAUGGCAAACAGUACGCGCUAAACCGAUGGUAGAGAUGAAAAGGUAUUCACUUUUGUUGGGAUUUAUUGGAAAGAAUUGGCACAAAUAUUGAUGAGCUCAAGUUUUUCGAUUGUACAGAGGAGAAUGAACAAAUGGUACUCGCACUGCAAAAAGAUAUCACUAGAUUUCCGCGAUAGCUCUAAAGGUUUCAAGGGAGAAGCAGAACAGAGAAGAAUUCAAGCUCAGGUCCAAGCAUGGCUGUGGAAAGACCGAGUCAGAGAAUCCAGCGACAUUGGAACAAGUCCAGGGAUCAGAGAGGUCUGAGGUGAUAGGCAAACUGAUAUUCGCAAGGCAGAUGGCAGUGAAGGGAUCAUGAUCGAUUCCUGAAAAUACUCCGGCGUUUGAGAUGUUGGUACCGACCACAUCCUUUAUGGUGACUCGCCUGACUACCGGGAGAACAUCAGGAUCAUAUUGGUCAUCAGGAUGGGCCCCACAGUAACCUGUGAACUGAAUUGCUUCAUGAACAUUUUCCAUUUUCACAUCUGAUAUGACAAUAUCUUCAAUGUAGCCACCUCGCCCGCGGGUGGUCUUGAAGUUUAUGCCAGUGUGAGAAUUGCGGACAUAGAGAUGCUCCACACGCACGUCUGAGAUGCCACCAGACAUCUCACUGCCAAAAGCAAGUGCUGAACCAAGAGAUGUCUGCAGAUGGACAUUGUUGAUCUGAAUAUUCGAAGAAGGUUUGCCAAAAGAGAUACCGUAGCUGUCCCAACCACUCUUGAGAACAAUUGCGUCAUGUCCGACACUGAUGCUGCAAUCUUCGAUGUGGAAAUUUGAACAUGAAUCUGCAGCAAGAAGAUGAGUCAGACGCAGAAUCAAUUUGCCGAUUAUAGCAUUAUAAGAGGCUUAAUCAUACAAAAGAAUGAUCACUCACAGAAGGUCAUUGUUAAACUCAAGCAGGGGUUGAAAACAUGUAGUAUGGUCAGAUUAGAACUGAGGAUCACACAUAUAUAAAGAUUCAAAAUUUGGACCGGCAGUGCUGAUAAAUGGAAUCUUAUUGAAAAGCUUGAAUUGGUAUAGUAUAAUAACUUAACAGAGGAUUUUAUAAGUAAAGGACAAUCCGCAGCAAUAUACAAGGAUGCAGGAUCAAGCAAAAUGUAUGGUUCUUGAAAAAAGAAAGGAUUCUGGAAAGUUAAUAUUCGAUCAGAGCAUCUGUUGCACACAUAAACUAAUAAGUCUAUGCUGGAUGAGUCGAGUUUGGGAGAAUGAAGCAGCAAAAAGGUUUCUCCAUUUUGUAAUACCUUGAGCCUUAGAAUGGUAGAAUCAUGCAGAUUAUAUACACUAUAGCAAGUCAUGCACUGGGCUCAAACCAUUUCAAACACUUGCGUCCCAUAUCUUUAUGUCAUUAUAAUGGAUUAGGAAGAUAAUGAUCUUUUUGCCUUAGCACAGCAUAAAACAGAAAAUAAUGACUGUAGAAUCCUAGAGAAUCGCUUAAAAACCAUCAGUAAACUGUAGUAAUAUAUAUGAAUCUUUAUAACUAAACUUGAACUUCUUCUAGAAAUUCUAUGUAUUAUAAGCAUUGAUAAACAAGGAAAAAGACCAUAAAAAAGAAAGAUGGCCAUUGAUUCAAAGAUUUGAUUCUUACCUGGUACUAUACCAUCAGUAUAUGGGGAAUCAGAUGAAGCAUGGAUGAUUAUAUUCUGGAUCGUCACAUUGCUGCAUCACAGACAAGAGUAAAUAUCCAUAGAUGCAUACAAAUCCUCAACAUUUCUUGACAAAUUUAAACACAAAUAGUUUUAGAACACACCUGGAAUAGACUGGAUGAAUGCUCCAGGCAGGGGGAUUCAAAAAGGUUAAGUUUGAAACCACAAUGUCACUAGAACUCACUAGUUCAAGAAGAUGAGGACGACUGUAGUUCAAGGUAUGGGAACGAAACCACUCCCACCAAACAGAACCCUGCCCAUCAAUAGCUCCAUUAUUGCCUGUUCCACAAAUCAAUUCGAGCAUGGUAGACAAAAUGAUGAGAACUUGCAAUCAUAAACAAGGAACGAGAUCAAUCAACCAAAGUGUUAAACAAAACAUACCUGUUAUCACCACAUCAAUCAAGUUGUAUCCAUUUAUCAAACUGCGAUGCCUUUCACCUGGAAGGUCUAUCCCUCGACCAUACGAGGGUAAAGGCUCAACAGGAGGCCACUGAGAUGCAUCCUAAAAUUAAAAAAAAAGGGGCAAAAGCUAUUAAUUUUCAAACUGUAGCAAUUUAAAGUUUUUGGAAUUGAUAAAGUUACAUGAGACUUUCAAUUCAUAAUGUAUAUGAUUCCAUGAAUUUUAAGAAAAUGGCAACUGGCUCCACUCGGUGUAAUUGAUUGUCUCCAAAUCCAGGCCUGUUAUAAUUUCCAGUUUUUGAUAGCAAAAAGUGUUAAAAUAUGAUGUAUGAUAACUUAUAGUUAAGAGAAGCAUAAUAUCAUCCACAUAAUAAUAUGUAAGGCACAAUUGAAAUGAUAUACAAAUGUGCUAAGGUCCAUACAUAAAAUAAAGAAGGUAGGGAAGACAAACGUUACUGGCAUUUAGCUAUCAUGGACCGCAACUGCCAAUGCACAGAAAGUGGUUCCAGCAUAGAAUUUUAUGUAAGGCCAGGCAUAGACAGGAGUAGAGUAAACAUGAUCCCUGUCAUAAUUGGUUCUAUUGCUUCCCUUCAUACCUUUUUAAGGUUUUGUGAAUGGUGAUUUAUGGAUAAUAUUAUUGAUGUUAGUGUGGCAGUACACUAUUCAUGCCUAAUAUAAUUAUAAAAGAUCUUAUUGUAAUCUGAGAUAGGAUAUGCAUGAAGCUAGCAUUUGAAACAACAAAUGCAGACAAAAAUGGAGGAUAACCAUGAAAAGUAGAUGUCUAUGUGUUGCGAUCAACACCUGACUGCCGAUUAUAACUGCAUCUUUGUCGAGGAACAGAGUUAGGUGACUGGUUAGAUCGAAACUUCCUGUCAGCCAUCUCCCUUUAGGAACAUACAACUGAGCACCACCCUUGUCAGCGAAUGACCGGACAUAGAAAACAGCAUUCUGAAAGGCAACCGUAUUCAGAGUCACUCCAUCUCCCACUGCCCCAAACUCCGUUAUGGUAACGCUGUGUGGUCUUGGUGUCGAUCGACUCAUGUGCUUACAAUACCCAUCACUCCUUUCAUCGCAAUCAAAAGCACUAGCAACUGCUAAAAGUAAAAGCACAGCUAGCUGCAGAAGAAAAGCAGUAGAAGAGGAUAAUAAUUAGCACUGGCAACAGAAAGUAUGCUUCCGGGUGACUGAAAAAACCACAUAAUUUCAGUUUCGAUCUAAAGGCCAAAAACAAAAUGGAAGCUUGCAUUGGUUGGAAAAAUUACGGAGAGGUAAAUCAAUAUUCGAAGGAAGCGAGGAAGGCCAAACGAUUUCUCCAUUCACUUUGGACUUGUAAUACGGACGGUGAAAUGAUUGAUAUUUUCUGGUGAUGAAUAAAUGGAAUGGGAACAAUGGAAGCUCAUCCAUUCCAUUGUUCAGAGCAACAAUGGAGUGUUCAGAACACUCCAUAGGUUUUCUGAUUGAUCUCCGAACUGAGAAGCGACAAUGACAAACGUCACGAUUCACAUCACACUACUCCAAUUCCUUAAACAGACGCACCGAAUACUUUUGUAAAUCAAAUCAUACACAACUUUCAGUCCAAAGUGACAUCCAACAACAGAGAAUACGUAAAAGAGUAAAAAAUAAUUAAGAAACAUAAAUGAUAAAAAUGGAUUCUCAACUAAAAAGAAGGGCGACCAUGCGCACGUCUAUGUGAACCAGUGAUUACAUCACCACUUAAAAGGGAACAAGUGGUAGAUGAAUCAAACUUCAAAUGAUAAGCAUAUCAGGGAAACACACACUUUAAUUUCGUCGAAUCUCGACAACCCAGGUCACAUAAGAAAAAACAGAGCAGACAACACCUGGGCCGGCAAAACGAAGGAAGAAACCAAAAGAUCCGAUUUUUACACAAAUCCAAUAAUCGAAAGAUGUUAACGAACAGGAUAGGCCGUUCGUUCGACACAUAAACAAAGGAACAAUGAAAAACACACUUACAAGCCUCUUCAUGAGCCUCUCGGCACAAAGGGCACCCGAAAGCCAAGCAGCGCAGGUCCAGCCGAAGAGGAGGCAGUACGAGAAAAUGGCAGCAGACCAAUCGAGGAAGGGAGAAGAAGAGGAGAAGAACCCAAAUACACACACUCGAAGCUGACCUAUUUAUAAUAGGAAAAACACAAUAAUGGGAGCAUGGUUAAUUAAUCCUACCAACACCCAGAAACCGACUCCCCCGGAGAGCGGGUGAGGUCAUCCGGGGAGGAUGGCCAAUGAAGCACGGGAGGUACGAUCUGGGUCGGACGCCUUGUCUUGAAUCCCCAAUUCCUUCCUUGGAUUCUCGGACGAUUUAGUCGCAACGAAAAGAAUAGGAAAGGCGUAUUUUUGAUAGUUUUGAUGAAGCAGAAAAAUAUAAAAUAAAAAUAAAAAACACUAAAAAGAAGGAAACCAUCCCCAUGGCAAGCAAAGAGUGAUGGAUCUGACAAAUCUAAUACGUCGACAGAAGGGUAAAGCCAUUUUCCUGCCCCCGUUACAGCUUGAGAACCAACUUGGCGUAUUUGGCUCGAACAAAAAAACCCUGACAAACAUAUUUGCAUUGUCACCGUAUCCAUAUGGUGCCGGGGACGGAUAGAGGGGCAGGAGAUCCAGUCAAUAAAUUUGUAGGAUCACAGAUCAGCCGGUGGGAUGAUUUGUGGGAAAUUUAAUAAAUGUACAUACAGACGAUUUAUUAACGACUAUGCGGAAUUUAAUUAUAAGUGUAUUCCUUAAUUUCUGUGUCAGACGUAGAGAGAGAGAGAGAGAGAGAGAAAAGGGGGAGGGAGAUGGGACGUUGAGAAAAAAAAGAAAAAAAGAAAUAAACAGAUUUUACGAAUCUCGUGACUAAUGGUAUAGGACUAUAUGUCUCAUAUGGGUCGAUAGAGGAAGACAAUGGACCUCUCAUCAUCAAUCAUGCCCGUUGAUGGCAGCUUGCAUCAUUCUCACGAUCGUCCUCUUAUUAUUCAAGUUAGAUUUUAAAAUCAAUAAAAAAUUUCUUUUCACUUUCUAACUAAUAGCCUCAAAGUUACUCCUUCGGUAUCAUGUUGGUUUGAAUUCUAGAUGGAAGUAGAUUGAUCACUCUUAAGAUAUCGAAAAGUCAUUAAAGAUAAUUUCGUUGAUGAGGAUUUAGGUAACUGAUGAAGAUAUGAAUGAUCGAUGAAGUGGUGUCUCCAAUUCGUGAGAUAUCCAAAGUGUAAUGGAACUUAAGAGAUGAAAGAGAGAGAAAGAGACCGUCAAAUAUCAUUUAGACUUCGAGAUACUAGUUAAGGUGGUUAAAAUAGUUCCUUGAGUAGAUGCAAUUAUUUGUUGAGUUAACAAAUGAGACGACAUGAUUAUGCCUACUAAGGUGGCCCAAUUGUUCCCCAAGGUGACAAUUGUGGUUGUUGUAGAGACCUAACCAUCGCUAGGUGAUGUAACUGUUAUCUUGGUAAUAGUAUGGUAGUGUAAUUAUUGUCUUGGUAGUAAUAAGGUGGUUCUACUACCCCCAAUGUGAUGAUUUUGGCUAUUGGAGGGAUCCAACCAUCGCUAAAGUGGUAGUUUCAAUUGUUGGAAAGGAUCAACUAUUGUUGGGGUGGCGAUCCUAGUUGUUGAAAUGUCACUGUCCAUAUGCCGGUCUUGAAAAGAUCAAUUUUAUCCUCUAUCACUUGUUCUACCAUUGUACUUUGGUAUAACAGAUUUUUAAGACGAGCAUAAUAUCCACCUUUCAAGAACAUUGAAUACCUUUGGGUGGGUGAUAUGGUCAUGAACUGCUUAUUAUUGCAUUAUACAAAAAGGACUCUUACUUGACUCAACCUGAUGUGGCUGACCUAUCCAUAUCAGGUAAUAAGAGUUCAACCUUUAGUUGACCGAUUCACAUUGCGCAAUAAGAGCUGUAAGUUUAGUUGACUUGCCCACAUUGGGUAAUAGGGAGUUUCAGCUUUGGUUAACCUGCCUAAAUCGAACAAUAAGAAGUUUUAUUUUAACCAACCUACUCACUUUGGAUAGAGUAAGGUUUCUUUUUUACUUGACUUGCCUACUUUGGAUAUGGUAACCUUGCCUAUCAUAACUUCUUAUUGGUUUGACUUGCUCAUCUCGAGUUUAGUUAGCUUUAUUUUAGAUUAAAGAGAAUGCACCGGAUGACAAAAAAUACUCAUGUUUGAGGAGAGAUACUUAUGUCCAUGGAGGACGUAUUAGGCACUACAGAUGCUUAUAUCUAUAAAUGAUGCAUUAAACAUUUGAGAUGCUUCUGUCUACGAAGGGUGCAUCGGACACUUGGGAUGUUUUUGCCCAUUAAGAGCACAUCAGAUACUUAAGAUGCUUCUGGCUAAAAAUAGACAUAUUGCAUACUUAAGAUAUUUAUAUCCACAAAGGGUGUAUCGAAUACUUGAGAUGUUUUUAUUUAUGAAGGGUGCAUUAGACACUUAUGAUGCUUUUGCCUAUAAAGGAUGCAUCAGAUGCUUAGGAUGCUUCUACCUAUAAAGGUGCAUUGGGCGCUUGAGAUGCUUAUUUUCAUGAAGGAUUCAUCAUAUACUUUGGAAGCUUCUUCUCAUGAAGGGCAUAUCAAACUCUUGGGAUGCUUCUACAUAAGAAGGGUGCAUCAAACACUUAAGAUGCUUAUGUUCACAAAGAAUUCAUUGGGUGCUUGAGAUGUUUUUGCCCGUGAAAGGCAUAUUGGAUGCUUGAAAUUCUUUAGCUUGUGAAUGGUGCAUCAGACACUUGGGAUACUUAUGUUCAUGAAGGAUACAUCAAAUACUUCAUAUUCUUCUUCCCAUAAAGGGUGUAUCAAGUUCUUGGGAUGCUUAUGUUCAUGAAGAAUGCAUCUAGCGCUUAAGAUGCUUCUACCUAUAAUUGGUGCAUCGGGCGCUUAGGAUGUUUUUGCUUGUGAAGGGUGCAUCAAGUACUUUAUAUUCUUAUGUAUACGAAGGAUGCAUCUGGUGCUUCAAAUGUUUUUACCCGUGAAGGGCACAUUGAGUGCUUUAUAUGCUUCUGCCAAUGAUGGGCAUAUCAGAUGCUUUAGAUACUUAUGUCUACAAAAGAUGCAUUAAGUGCUUGAUAUGCUUAUGCCUAUGAAAGAUACAUCAAAUACAUUAGAUAUUUAUGCCUACAAAGGAUGUAUUGAACACUUGGGUUACUUCUAUUUGUUGAUAAAUGAGUCUAGUAUGAUGAAUCACCUACCAAUUUUUACCCUUAGUCUCACUUCUCCUUACUCCCACACUGAUUGAGUCGAAGAAGUGAGGAUGGUGGCAAAGACAUCAAUGACAAUCUUGAAACUUCACUGAAGACAUCACCCUAGUGGAAGGAAGUUAGAGACAUUGGAAACAAAGCUAAGUAGCCUUAUAAGAUAUAAAUUCUACACUUGAAACAAUAAUGUAUUUUAUCUUAAAGAGAAAAUUCAGUCAAUAAGCCCUUUGACAUGUAACAAGUAACAUAUGACAAUAAAGCUAGGGGUAAAACUUUUUGAGAUACUCUUACCUUAUAAGUUCCUCAAUCCAUUCUUUGUGUCAUGCACUCCUUGGUAUCAAACUGAUAGUCUUUGUAAAAUCUAUAUACUUGCUUUUAUCUCACCUUAUUAACGAUGAUCACAUUAGUUGAAGGUUCUUAAGCACUACUUUCUUUAAGGAAAAUUUUCGUUCCUAAAGCGUUUAGGGGAUUGAAGUCUCUCCUCACUCAUGAGCGUCCUUCCCUAGCAGGCUUGAACAAUUACUUAGUUGUGAUGUUUCUUUAUCUCUUGGUGUUUUCACCUUUUAUCCUUCUUUAUGCAUGAGUUAAGAGCUUUAACAAUUAUGUAUUGGUUCACUUAUAAUAUAUUAGAAAAGGUGACUAUGGUUUUUUCGGUGAUUAACCAUAUGAAUCGAACCAAGAGGAUUAUAGGCCUUAUAUGAAGGUUUAAACAAUGAUUGAUGGGUGCGUAUUAGUCACCUAACUUAUCUUAAUAUUAAACCUUAAGACAUAAUUAGCCAAAUGUUCCUCCUAGACUUAGUGGAUUACCAUGAGUGGUCAUGAUUUGCUUUGGUUAUAAAUAAAAUAUAACCUAAAUUAUUGUGCAGACUGGCUGAAUGUGUAUCUAGAUGCAUAAGUGAGACGAGAGAAUCAUUCUUAAGCUACUCUCCAAAGUGUGGUUGGGAAUAACCGAUACAUUAGGUUAUCCAAUUAGCAUAAAUGAUCAUUUAUGUUUGAAACGUCACAAUGUGUUGCUUAGGAUCAAUGUUGCCAUCAAAUAUCUCUAAGGUAAAUAGUCGAAACCCUUUAGGAAUUAGCUCUUAUUAGGUUUACUCAAUGAAGGGAGAAUGACCAUAUAGAUUUUUUAUAUCCCCUUCCUUUGCAAGUUAAAACCCCUAACACAUUUUAUAAUAUUAGUUCAUCUCUUAGAGUCGUAGGCUAAACCAUCGACUUCAUUUAGAGGGGAUGGUGAGGUGACCAGAUUAGCAAGUAACAAUAUUGAUUGGGGAUAUUCAACUAUGACUAGAUCUAUAUCUAGUUGUAGGAUUGUGGAGUCUCUUAGUUUUAUAUAGGUGGUUGUAGUACUACUUGAUUAUGGACAAAUAUAAACUGUAGAAACUAUGGAAUGAAUGGGAUGAUGGAUUAUAUAAUCGUUAAGAGAGUAUAGACUUGUUGGAAUAGCCUCGGGAAGGCUUCCAUUGACACUACUAUGGGUGGAGGAUUACCCAUUUGUGAGGGAAAGCUUGAGUGCUAGAAAAGUUGCAGGAGUAGUUUGUUGAGGUCUUAAAAUGAUAAUAAAGAAAAACGUUGGUUGGGCUAAUCCCAAACCCAUUAAGGUGGGGAAAUUGUUGUUUGGUGGUUCCUCCUCGAGACAUUCUUAGAGCUUUUCGGUAAGAUCGUUGUUUUGCACCAUAUUAGCCCUCCUUCUGAUGCCAAAUUUAAUAACCUCAAAGUCGAUCACUUGAUGCGAUACUAGGAGUGCAACUUGACUAGGUUUGGACCCGAGAUAGAAGCAAGAUGAUUUGCACUAAGAUAUUGAGUAGUUAAGAUGGCUCAGUUGAUGGAAAUCCAAGUGGUCGAUGGAGAUCUAGAUGGUCGAUGAAGUGGUUGCGACUCUUGAGAUGUUGCUUGGGAUACUAAAGAAGACCGAGAUUAAGAAUAUCUAACUUAUGACCUUUCAAUACUUAAGUCAAUAAAAUUCUAAAGUGUAAUGAAAUAUCAGACAUAAAAAAGAGAGAAAAUAAUUGUUAGAGUGUUUGCUUGAGGCAAAUGCAACUAUAAGCUAACUUGACAUGUGGUGACAUGACUGCUUGUUGAAGUGAUAACCUUUGCUGAGGUGACAUAAUCGCUACCUUAAUAGCGGUGAGAUAGUAUAAUCAUAGUCUUAAUAGUAGUGAGGUAAUUCAAUUAUUCCAAAAUGAUGAUUUUGGUUAUUAAAGAUAUCUAAUCGUGGUUGAGGUGACAGGUUUAGAAAACGUCAAUCAUUGUUCAUAUCAUGAUUUCGAUUAUCGACAUGAUCUUCGUGUGUCGAUUUUAAAAAAGUUAAUUUUAUUAUCUAGCAUUAAUCAUUUUCUUGUUCUAUAUAGGUAUAUAUUUUUAAUAAAAUAAUAAACUAAGAUAAAUACAUUUAUUAUUUGAAUUAUUUCCACACGUGCACUUGCAUGCAUGCGGAGUUGGCUGAAUGGAUGAGUUUGUCGAAUGGUCCCAAAAUUCCCUUUUAAAACACUUUCCCAAUUUCCAUCCUAUCGAGUUCUCUGUCAACGACCUGUGGGGCUCGCUCGCUGGGCGGACAUAACGUCACCAGCGGUGUGAGCCCCCACAGAUGACCUUUGUCAUGGACGAGACAAAAGGUUUUUGGGAGGAUGCGUACUCCGUUACAUGCAUCCGGACUCUUCGUCUAGCCACAUCCUUGUCUUCCGGUCUUGACCCACAACUCCAUUAGCUGGUCAACGGUACACUGAACCCAGCCCCGGCCACCUGCUCUUGACUUUCUGACCGCCGGGAAUCCCCUGUUCAAUCAUAUAAAUAAUUUUACAUAAAUACAUUUUAUGUUGUUGAUUAAUUGCUUAUGAGUCGAACAUGAUCCAAGUCACGGAAAUCAAAGGUUAAAAUCAAAUUUGGAUUUUAGUUCCGCGUAGUCCUUUAACUCCGACAACCGUCGAAUACGAGCUGAAGCUCCAAGCUCGACGGCCCUCAUUGGUGGAGAAGACAACAACCGGAGGUGGCACCAUGCCGGCUCCGCCGCCCUCGGCGAUGCAGGAAAACGUUUGGUCGCGCGAGAUGCGCGCCAGGAAGCCCGUCCUGCGUCAGCACCGUCGUCACAAGUGCGACGAACUCGCGAGAUUAUCUGACGAUCAGGGAACAGGGGGGAGGGGGGAGGGGGGUGGGAAGGGGGGGGGGGGGGGGGGGCGCCGGGUAGUUUUACGGAAGAGNNNNNNNNNNNNNNNNNNNNNNNNNNNNNNNNNNNNNNNNNNNNNNNNNNNNNNNNNNNNNNNNNNNNNNNNNNNNNNNNNNNNNNNNNNNNNNNNNNNNNNNNNNNNNNNNNNNNNNNNNNNNNNNNNNNNNNNNNNNNNNNNNNNNNNNNNNNNNNNNNNNNNNNNNNNNNNNNNNNNNNNNNNNNNNNNNNNNNNNNNNNNNNNNNNNNNNNNNNNNNNNNNNNNNNNNNNNNNNNNNNNNNNNNNNNNNNNNNNNNNNNNNNNNNNNNNNNNNNNNNNNNNNNNNNNNNNNNNNNNNNNNNNNNNNNNNNNNNNNNNNNNNNNNNNNNNNNNNNNNNNNNNNNNNNNNNNNNNNNNNNNNNNNNNNNNNNNNNNNNNNNNNNNNNNNNNNNNNNNNNNNNNNNNNNNNNNNNNNNNNNNNNNNNNNNNNNNNNNNNNNNNNNNNNNNNNNNNNNNNNNNNNNNNNNNNNNNNNNNNNNNNNNNNNNNNNNNNNNNNNNNNNNNNNNNNNNNNNNNNNNNNNNNNNNNNNNNNNNNNNNNNNNNNNNNNNNNNNNNNNNNNNNNNNNNNNNNNNNNNNNNNNNNNNNNNNNNNNNNNNNNNNNNNNNNNNNNNNNNNNNNNNNNNNNNNNNNNNNNNNNNNNNNNNNNNNNNNNNNNNNNNNNNNNNNNNNNNNNNNNNNNNNNNNNNNNNNNNNNNNNNNNNNNNNNNNNNNNNNNNNNNNNNNNNNNNNNNNNNNNNNNNNNNNNNNNNNNNNNNNNNNNNNNNNNNNNNNNNNNNNNNNNNNNNNNNNNNNNNNNNNNNNNNNNNNNNNNNNNNNNNNNNNNNNNNNNNNNNNNNNNNNNNNNNNNNNNNNNNNNNNNNNNNNNNNNNNNNNNNNNNNNNNNNNNNNNNNNNNNNNNNNNNNNNNNNNNNNNNNNNNNNNNNNNNNNNNNNNNNNNNNNNNNNNNCGGCCGGGAGUUUUUACGGAAGAGCACUUUGCUUUGUUGGGUGGGUGGGUGUGGGGUAACGGGUCAUCCUGGAUCCUGCCCAUGUCAUCACAGCUGAGCAUCGCUCUACAUAUUCCUUUCUAUUCUUUUCAUAUCUUCCUUCUCGGAAAUUCUCGCGUUCCCCUGUGGACUGCGGUGAGCUCCACAGCAGUUGACACUCCGAGGCAGGGCCUUUCCACCGCUGGAUUAUCUGCUCAAGAUUCGUGUUCUUUAAAAUCCAACGGUGGUUUAUCAUUCGGCGGUACAUGUUCGACCGUGCGGGAGCUCCCAUUCUCCAUCUCCUUAAAAUAGCGGCGAUUCAUGUCUUGCUUUCAGACCGUGAACCACAAAAUAUAACCACCGCUGCUGCGAAGGGAAGAAGCAAAGGUGCAGAAGAGGUAAAACAAAGAAAGCUUCCUCCCCUCUCGAUCUCUCUCCUCCUUCGCGCGAGUUACGACGGUUCCUAGUUGCUUCUCUCUCUUUCUUUUGACUUCUCGGGAACGAUUAUGAUCGAAACCUAGAAGCUGUCCGACUCUGCUUCAGGUAUCAAUUGCCUUCUUUUUUUUCUUGCUUCCUUUGCUUUUCCACUCUGAGAUCACAGUCUUUACGUCUUUUCGGCGUUCUUUCGUGUUCGAUUUUAUCAUUCCCUGCGACUGAUUUGGCACUGGAAGCGGCUCUCCUUUAUCCUGUAUUAGGGUUUCCCCCGUGAUCUUCAUUUGCUUUCGCUGUUUUUUUCUGCUAAUUUCCGGUGUGUGAAAAUUGAAAUCUGGGACUAGAAUAGUGCGCUGUCUCAUGUAAGCUGAGGCCUGUGCUUCAUUUAGUGUCUCUGUCAUCUCCCCUUUCCAUAUCAGUAGAAUCUUCUGUUUCCAAUAGACAUUGUAAGUGGCUAAUGACGGGCUCUUCAUAAAGAACAAGAAGAAAUCUAAUUUUUGAUCUUUCGUGGUUUAGUAAGCAGCUUGCGGUUUGCGUGGUGUAGGAGUUAAAGAUACAUUUUUUGUGCUUAUCGAUAGUGAAUUUCAUAUUUUCUUACACCUAUUUGUUUGCCUGGCCUUCGGAGUCAUGAUUUUGCUUGUUCUUCAUUAGCUUUUAAUUAAACUGCGGAAGUUGCUGCCUUGCACUUGGAAAAAAGAAGCUAAGCUCUGUUCUGAUCAAACCAAGUAGCAAGUGACCUUGUUUGCUGUUUCAGAAUGUAGUACUGUUAUUCUGGCCUCUGUAGUUGCUUCGAGAUGGAGGGUUGUGACUGCAUCGAGCCGCAAUGGCCUGCUGAUGAACUUCUAGUGAAGUAUCAAUAUAUAUCAGACUUCUUUAUAGCUCUUGCCUAUUUCUCCAUUCCUCUCGAGCUCAUUUACUUCGUGAAGAAGUCUUCAUUCUUCCCAUACAGAUGGGUGUUGAUACAAUUCGGUGCCUUCAUUGUUCUUUGUGGAGCAACACAUAUGAUAAAUCUCUGGACAUUCACCAUGCACUCACGAACAGUUGCAUUGGUGAUGACUGUUGCGAAAAUCUCAACUGCUGUUGUAUCAUGUGCUACAGCUUUGAUGCUUGUUCACAUAAUUCCUGACUUGUUAAGUGUUAAGACAAGGGAGUUGUUUCUGAAGAAUAAGGCAGAGGAACUUGAUAGGGAGAUGGGUAUUAUACGCACGCAAGAAGAAACAGGGCGACAUGUCAGGAUGCUUACGCAUGAAAUCAGAAGUACACUUGACAGGCACACAAUAUUAAAGACAACCCUGGUUGAACUAGGGAGGACUCUGGAUUUGGCAGAAUGUGCACUUUGGAUGCCAUCAAGGAGUGGUCUUAAUCUCCAGCUCUCACAUACUUUGCACCACCAAAUGCCCCUCGGAUCUGUUGUGUCCAUCAACCUUCCUGUAGUCAAUCAAGUCUUCAGUAGUAACCGUGCUGUAAGAAUCCCACAUACGUGUCCAUUAGCAAGGAUUCGGCCUCAAACUGGAAGAUAUGUGCCACCGGAAGUUGUUGCUGUCCGAGUUCCACUAUUACAUCUUUCAAAUUUCCAAAUAAAUGAUUGGCCUGAGCUUUCUGCCAAAAGCUAUGCCAUUAUGGUUCUAAUGCUCCCUUCAGACAGUGCAAGAAAAUGGCACAUACAUGAACUGGAGCUUGUUGAGGUGGUCGCUGAUCAGGUAACUACCAGUCUCUAGCAUUGAAGUCCUGUUCUGGAUCUCAUAUUUGCUUUGGUAGGUUUAUACAAAUAAUUUGGGCAUCCUUUUAAAUUUUCUUAAUUUUUGAAUGAACUUGGGUGAUGUUUCAGAGAUGUGGUGAUUCUAUUUUCCGCAUUGCAUUGCUAAGAUUCUCUAGUUAGUAUGAGCGUGAACAUGUUUUGAUUCUCUACUAGUAUGAGUGCAAGUAUGCUAUGAAAUUUUGCUAGUUCUAUUUUAUGUUCAUGUCAAUCACCAUCAUUGUUUGUUUAUGUAUGGUAGUACCAGAAAUAUACUGUUGAGUAAAUUACUAUGCCACUUGUUUCAUUGAUCAUAAUAUAUGCACUGAGGUCAGACCUAUAAUGGUUACCUAUUAAGAACUUGAUAUCUGCUGGUUAUUGAUAUUUAAAGCUGCCAACGCAUUGUUUGUAAUUUAUUGGGCUUUCGCUGUGCAUCAGUGGAUGAUGGUAAUUCUAUGACACUUUAUAAAAGAUCUUAACAACGUACUUGAUAUUGAAGACCAGUUUUAUUUGUUUUGGCCUUGAAGAUAUAAAUAAGUGUUAAACACAGAUAGCUUAAGUUUCCUUUAUGAAAGACAAAAUUUAGCUAUUAUGUUUGUUAUGCUAAGUUGGCAAUAAAUAGUGCAUCACAAUUUAUCCCUACAGUGGACAAUAUGAAGUAUGACUUGUUGGCUGUGUCACUCCAAGUUCUAAUGUUGAACUAUAAGUUUCUAAUGAUCAUUGGUAAAGUUGUUAAUGUUUAAAGAAACAAGCUAGUGGACUUACCAUUCCAUUCAUUUAGUUCUGAAGGAAAGAAAAUCAAGGACUCAUUGAAUUUUUUGAUCCAUUUUCAUGAUCACUGAAGCUAUGAUUUUACUAUGUGAUAACAUAUAUUCUAUAAGAUUGUUAGACAUACAUAGUAUUCCAUUCUUCCAUGGCUGUAUUUUGUUGUCGAGGCUGUUAUUUCAUGGUUCUUUAAUGUAAAUAAAAUGUGCUGAAAUGAUUUCUUGUUCCUUUUUUCUCUCGUUGUGGCACUCUUGUAGUGGUUUCAGUUUAAAGAAUCGCCAUUAACAGUCAACAUCAAGGUUAAUUUGAGGGUACUUUUCUUAGAAAUCCUUAUAGAAGUGGUAUAAUUGUUAUGUGUUCACACAAGAAUACCUUAUUUAGUGUCUCUCACAAUGACACAUAGUUUGAAUAAUUGAUAUUAUGGUUUUCUUUUAGCUUGAGAAAAUGAGUUGAAUAUAGAGCUCUUACCAAGUGCUUGUUGGAGUCAUAUGAUUCGCAGCAUUCCAGUCCUUGUUAGGUUGAGGUUUCAGAUUUUUCAUACAGCUGAUUAGUUCUUGACUUUACUGGAGAUUACCUAUGCUUACCUCAUUUUUCUGUAUCUAUAUACACACACACACACUAGUGCUAGAUCUAUGGCUGUAGCACUAAUAACUAGGUGUUGAAGUGUUCCUUGACAGCUCAACAUAUUGCAGAAGCUCAGGGGUCCAAAUGUGUGGCCAGCAUGUUUUUCUUUUUGCUUUUUUAUUGUUCAUGGAGUGAGGCCAUGAAACAUUGCUUUAAUCUCUUAUGUAAUUAAUUUUUACUCAUUAAUAAAAUGGAUCAUUGGAUGAAUAGAAAUAGUCAUCCCAUACUUGUGUUCACCUUCAAUGCACCUAUGGUGAUAUUUUAUUACAUAAACAUUACGGGUGACCUAGCUGACCAUUGAACGCUUCAGGUUUUAUAACCUGGCUUGUAUAAGGUGAACCAUGAAGAGGGAGCAUUGUGAUCUGAAGAACAUCGGUCAAUCAUCUAAAGUUUUGAAAUUAAGAAUGAACUAGUGAAAUAUGUCAUUCUAAACAUUUCUUAUUUGACCAUGUAAUAAGAUCCGGACAUGAGAUAUAGAUUUGCUUGAUACUAAAUGGUGUUAUGUGCACUUAUCUUGUGAGCUAAUUAGUGAUUUAUAAAAUGUUAGGCGCCAAAGUCCCUCAACGCUUGCCCGAGCGAAACGAGGCACUCUCGAAUAUUAUAAUUAAAAUAAUAUACAACUAAAUAAAAAUAUGCCAAACAUGUUUAUGAAGACCUAUAUUAGAAUUAAACUGCUUUGUACACUUGUCAUUAAUUCUAAAACCUAAUAUAUAAUUUUAAAACAAUAAAAAUUAGAGAUUUAACAAUCUACUGUUAACAGUAUAUUAUUUACUAUUAACAGUAGUUAAGAGGGGAAAAAAAUUGUUAACAGUAGCAAAUGGAGAAAAAAAUAAAAGAAAAAUGUCACCAAUGGUUGAUAGUGGGGAAGGAGAAGGCAACGGUGACGGAGGAAGUUGCGGAUGACAGU